CUUUACUCGUCUGUCAUUACUCACCUCAUCAAAUCCCAAAAACGCCUCCCUUACAUCACAGGCCACCUCACUUUUAGCCAAAUGACGUAAAAUGACAGAUCUGGGCUUUGUUUGUGACAUCCGUUGUCUCGUCUACUUCUACAGCAACAAAUAGGGUUGCAUUAAUCUCUGGAAUAAAGUUAGUUUGACGUUGGACGUUCGAUAUUCGCGGAUAUGCGGAAAUUUGGGGACCGUCUCUAAAGUUACACACGACAAUGUUAUACACGUUUCUAACUUCAAUAGCAUUUGAAGGGAAUGACUAACAGUCACAAAACCAGCUGGAAAGUGUUCAUCUAGGUGUCAGGUAUGGGAAACACCUUUUAGAUUUUUGAUAUUUAUCAAAACAAGCUAUUAAAUCAUAUGUAAAUUAGAUAUGAAUUUCACUACAGAAUGGGCCCAUACACAAAAUAUACCAUUAUUUAAAGCUCAGUAGUAUUUGAAGGGAAUGACUUACAGUCACAGAACCAACAAGAAGAGCAAUGGGCCAAGAGAUCACAAACUCAAAGAUGAGCAAAGCAUCGUUCAAAGUAUUUUCAUCCACCAGAAGCAAACAAAAGCAAACAUCUGAGGAUCAUUCAGAGGACACAUCAACCCAGUUUCAUUCAUGCAGCAUCCAGCCAGGUGUUUGUGGUAGACCCAGCAGGACAUGAUGAAGAAGCAAAAUCCAUGCAUGCAGCCACUACAUUUCAAGAAUACUUCAAGAUGAGAAGAAACUGUCUCAGUAAAUGUGACUGGGUGGACAUAAAAUGGAAUGGAGGACAAAUGAACCAUUCCACACAACAAGACUGGUACAGCUUUGGAGUGUUUGUCAGGCAGUAUUGAAGAGGGGACAUUGCUGCUCAUUAUGUGCUGCCUCAAAAUCCCUGGGUGGUGGUGCAAAAACAUCUUGGAUUGAAUGUCACUGCUGCAAGAGGUGGUUUCAUGUGGCAUGCCUUUCUAUGUCAGAGAACCAAUUCAAAAGGGCUCAAAAGGUUGACUGGAA
ensembl:lncRNA